rnacentral:rRNA from 1 species
UACGUAGGGUGCGAGCGUUUAAUCGGAAUUACUGGGCGUAAAGCGUGCGCAGGCUGUUUUGUAAGUCAGAUGUGAAAUCCCUGGGCUCAACCUAGGAACUGCGUUUGAAACUACAAGGCUAGAGUGUAGCAGAGGGAGGUGGAAUUCCACGUGUAGCAGUGAAAUGCGUAGAGAUGUGGAGGAACACCGAUGGCGAAGGCAGCCUCCUGGGCCAGCACUGACGCUCAUGCACGAAAGCGUGGGGAGCAAACAGG